AACCAGCUCUUCAAGUGGUCGGGAUAAUUAUUGGGCUUAAAGUGUCCGUAGCCGGUUUAGUAAGUUCCUGGUAAAAUCGGGUAGCUUAACUAUCCGUAUGCUAGGAAUACUGCAAUACUAGAGGGCGGGAGAGGUCUGAGGUACUACAGGGGUAGGGGUGAAAUCUUAUAAUCCUUGUAGGACCACCAGUGGCGAAGGCGUCAGACUGGAACGCGCCUGACGGUGAGGGACGGAAGCCAGGGGAGCGAACCGGAUUAGAUACCCGGGUAGUCCUGGCUGUAAACGAUGCAUACUAGGUGAUGGCAUGGCCAUGAGCCGUGUCAGUGCCGUAGGGAAACCGUUAAGUGUGCCGCCUGGGAAGUACGGUCGCAAGGCUAAAACUUAAAGGAAUUGGCGGGGGAGCACCACAAGGGGUGAAGCCUGCGGUUC
rnacentral:rRNA from 1 species